UACGUAGGGUGCGAGCGUUGUCCGGAAUUAUUGGGCGUAAAGAGCUUGUAGGCGGUUUGUCGCGUCUGCUGUGAAAACCCGCGGCUCAACCGCGGGCCUGCAUUCGAUACGGGCAGGCUAGAGUUCGGUAGGGGAGACUGGAAUUCCUGGUGUAGCGGUGAAAUGCGCAGAUAUCAGGAGGAACACCGAUGGCGAAGGCAGGUCUCUGGGCCGAUACUGACGCUGAGGAGCGAAAGCGUGGGGAGCGAACAGG
rnacentral:rRNA from 1 species